GUGUGCAUUCCUUCUAGGGACGAAACGCCUCUGUUGUGACUGAAUUUAAUAUUUUUUUUUUUUUAUUCGCAGCUACCGGUUUAAACAGUCAACAUGGAAGGUCUACUGGUUUUACUAGCAUCAUUCCUUCUGGCACAGGCGAGGCCAGAAUCCAUGGCGGAGUCCCCUCACCCUGAGUACAGAACUAUCACAGAUCCGACCAGGUCGCGCAGAAAUGCAGAGGCUGUGGGAGAACACUCCCACGUUGUGAAGAAAGCAGGCAUGAUAGGGACCCGAAUCGGAUUCCUCAGCGGCCCGGACCCCAACACCUACUGGGCAGCCUAAUGUCUUCUGUCGUCUGUCGGAUGUCAAUUGUGUUUUCUGUUUAAACCGUGACGCUUAUGAUGUUAAUUAUUGCAGUGCCGGAUUUUUAUUACUUUUUUAAAUAAAAAGUUGUGAUAAAA